GUAGGUGGCAAGCGUUGUCCGGAAUUAUUGGGCGUAAAGCGCGCGCAGGCGGGUCCUUUAAGUCUGAUGUGAAAGCCCACGGGCUCAACCGUGGAGGGUCAUUGGAAACUGGGGGACUUGAGUACAGAAGAGGAAAGCGGAAUUCCAAGUGUAGCGGUGAAAUGCGUAGAGAUUUGGAGGAACACCAGUGGCGAAGGCGGCUUUCUGGUCUGUAACUGACGCUGAGGCGCGAAAGCGUGGGGAGCAAACAGGAUUAGAUACCCUGGUAGUCCACGCCGUAAACGAUGAGUGCUAAGUGUUAGGGGGUUUCCGCCCCUUAGUGCUGCAGCUAGCGCAUUAAGCACUCCGCCUGGGGAGUACGGCCGCAAGGCUG
rnacentral:rRNA from 1 species